CCUACGGGAGGCAGCAGUGAGGAAUAUUGGUCAAUGGACGCAAGUCUGAACCAGCCAUGCCGCGUGCAGGAUGACGGCUCUAUGAGUUGUAAACUGCUUUUGUACGAGGGUAAACCCCGAUACGUGUAUCGGGUUGAAAGUAUCGUACGAAUAAGGAUCGGCUAACUCCGUGCCAGCAGCCGCGGUAAUACGGAGGAUCCGAGCGUUAUCCGGAUUUAUUGGGUUUAAAGGGUGCGCAGGCGGGCCUUUAAGCCGGCGGGGAAAUCUCGGGGCUCAACCCCGCCGAGCCGUCGGG
rnacentral:rRNA from 1 species